rnacentral:rRNA from 1 species
UCGGGAAUUUUGGGCAAUGGGCGCAAGCCUGAUCCAGCCAUGCCGCGUGAGUGAUGAAGGCCCUAGGGUUGUAAAACUCUUUCGUGGGGGACGAUAAUGACGGUACCCCAAGAAGAAGCUCCGGCUAACUUCGUGCCAGCAGCCGCGGUAAUACGAAGGGGGCUAGCGUUGUUCGGAUUUACUGGGCGUAAAGCGCGUGUAGGCGGACUGGAAAGUUGGGGGUGAAAUCCCGAGGCUCAACCUCGGAACUGCCUCCAAAACUUCCAGUCUGGACUCAAGUAGAGGCAAGUGGAAUUGCGAGUGUAGAGGUGAAAUUCGUAGAUAUUCGCAGGAACACCAGUGGCGAAGGCGACUUGCUGGACUUGUAGUGACGCUGAGACGCGAAAGCGUGGGGAGCAAACAGGAUUAGAUACCCCCGUAGUCCCUGAGCGGGCUGGCAAGGCGCAU